rnacentral:rRNA from 1 species
CGAACAGACGAGGAGCUUGCUCCUCUGACGUUAGCGGCGGACGGGUGAGUAACACGUGGAUAACCUACCUAUAAGACUGGGAUAACUUCGGGAAACCGGAGCUAAUACCGGAUAAUAUAUUGAACCGCAUGGUUCAAUAGUGAAAGACGGUUUUGCUGUCACUUAUAGAUGGAUCCGCGCCGCAUUAGCUAGUUGGUAAGGUAACGGCUUACCAAGGCAACGAUGCGUAGCCGACCUGAGAGGGUGAUCGGCCACACUGGAACUGAGACACGGUCCAGACUCCUACGGGAGGCAGCAGUAGGGAAUCUUCCGCAAUGGGCGAAAGCCUGACGGAGCAACGCCGCGUGAGUGAUGGAGGUCUUCGGAUCGUAAAACUCUGUUAUUAGGGAAGAACAAAUGUGUAAGUAACUAUGCACGUCUUGACGGUACCUAAUCAGAAAGCCACGGCUAACUACGUGCCAGCAGCCGCGGUAAUACGUAGGUGGCAAGCGUUAUCCGGAAUUAUUGGGCGUAAAGCGCGCGUAGGCGGUUUUUUAAGUCUGAUGUGAAAGCCCACGGCUCAACCGUGGAGGGUCAUUGGAAACUGGAAAACUUGAGUGCAGAAGAGGAAAGUGGAAUUCCAUGUGUAGCGGUGAAAUGCGCAGAGAUAUGGAGGAACACCAGUGGCGAAGGCGACUU